rnacentral:rRNA from 1 species
UACGUAGGGUGCAAGCGUUGUCCGGAAUUAUUGGGCGUAAAGAGCUCGUAGGCGGUCUGUCGCGUCGGCUGUGGAAUCCCGAGGCUCAACCUCGGGUCUGCAGUCGAUACGGGCAAACUAGAGUAUUGCAGGGGAGACUGGAAUUCCUGGUGUAGCGGUGAAAUGCGCAGAUAUCAGGAGGAACACCGGUGGCGAAGGCGGGUCUCUGGGCCGAUACUGACGCUGAGGAGCGAAAGCGUGGGGGAGCGAACAGG